rnacentral:rRNA from 1 species
AGAGUUUGAUCCUGGCUCGGGAUGAACGCUAGCUACAGGCUUAACACAUGCAAGUCGAGGGGCAGCAUGUUGGUUGCUUGCAACCAACGAUGGCGACCGGCGCACGGGUGAGUAACGCGUAUCCAACCUACCCUUGUCCAUCGGAUAACCCGUCGAAAGGCGGCCUAACACGAUAUGCGGUUCACGGCAGGCAUCUAAGGUGAACGAAAUGUGAAGGAGAAGGAUGGGGAUGCGUCUGAUUAGCUUGUUGGCGGGGUAACGCCACAAGGCUACGAUCAGUAGGGGUUCUGAGAGGAAGGUCCCCCACAUUGGAACUCGAGACACGGUCCAAACUCCUACGGGAGGCA